UACGAAGGGGGCGAGCGUUGUUCGGAAUUACUGGGCGUAAAGGGCGCGCAGGCGGCCUUAGAAGUCAGAUGUGAAAGCCCCGGGCUCAACCUGGGAAUGGCAUUUGAUACUCUGAGGCUGGAGUACGGGAGAGGAGAGUGGAAUUCCCAGUGUAGAGGUGAAAUUCGUAGAUAUUGGGAAGAACACCGGUGGCGAAGGCGGCUACUCUGGACCGUAACUGACGCUGAGGCGCGAAAGCGUGGGGAGCAAACAGG
rnacentral:rRNA from 1 species